UAGGGAAUCUUCGGCAAUGGGGGGAACCCUGACCGAGCAACGCCGCGUGAGUGAAGAAGGUUUUCUGAUCGUAAAGCUCUGUUGUUAAGGAAGAACGAGUGUGAGAAUGGAAAGUUCAUACUGUGACGGUACUUAACCAGAAAGGGACGGCUAACUACGUGCCAGCAGCCGCGGUAAUACGUAGGUCCCGAGCGUUGUCCGGAUUUAUUGGGCGUAAAGCGAGCGCAGGCGGUUAGAUAAGUCUGAAGUUAAAGGCAGUGGCUCAACCAUUGUAGGCUUUGGAAACUGUUUAACUUGAGUGCAGAAGGGGAGAGUGGAAUUCCAUGUGUAGCGGUGAAAUGCGUAGAUAUAUGGAGGAACACCGGUGGCGAAAGCGGCUCUCUGGUCUGUAACUGACGCUGAGGCUCGAAAGCGUGGGGAGCGAACAGG
rnacentral:rRNA from 1 species